rnacentral:rRNA from 1 species
UACGAACGCUGGCGGCGUGCUUAACACGUGCAAGUCGAACGGAAAGGCCCUGCUUUUGUGGGGUGCUCGAGUGGCGAACGGGUGAGUAACACGUGAGUAACCUGCCCUUGACUUUGGGAUAACUUCAGGAAACUGGGGCUAAUACCGGAUAGGAGCUCCUGCUGCAUGGUGGGGGUUGGAAAGUUUCGGCGGUUGGGGAUGGACUCGCGGCUUAUCAGCUUGUUGGUGGGGUAGUGGCUUACCAAGGCUUUGACGGGUAGCCGGCCUGAGAGGGUGACCGGCCACAUUGGGACUGAGAUACGGCCCAGACUCCUACGGGAGGCAGCAGUGGGGAAUAUUGCACAAUGGGCGGAAGCCUGAUGCAGCAACGCCGCGUGCGGGAUGACGGCCUUCGGGUUGUAAACCGCUUUCGCCUGUGACGAAGCGUGAGUGACGGUAAUGGGUAAAGAAGCACCGGCUAACUACGUG